rnacentral:rRNA from 1 species
UAGGGAAUAUUGGACAAUGGGCGAAAGCCUGAUCCAGCCAUGCCGCGUGUGUGAAGAAGGUCUUCGGAUUGUAAAGCACUUUAAGUUGGGAGGAAGGGCAUUAACCUAAUACGUUAGUGUUUUGACGUUACCGACAGAAUAAGCACCGGCUAACUCUGUGCCAGCAGCCGCGGUAAUACAGAGGGUGCAAGCGUUAAUCGGAAUUACUGGGCGUAAAGCGCGCGUAGGUGGUUUGUUAAGUUGGAUGUGAAAGCCCCGGGCUCAACCUGGGAACUGCAUCCAAAACUGGCAAGCUAGAGUACGGUAGAGGGUGGUGGAAUUUCCUGUGUAGCGGUGAAAUGCGUAGAUAUAGGAAGGAACACCAGUGGCGAAGGCGACCACCUGGACUGAUACCGACACUGAGGUGCGAAAGCGUGGGGAGCAAACA